UAUUAGACCCGAUUGUAGUGAAAAUCCUUUUUGCGCGCUUUUUUUGCGUGCAAAAAGAUUGCAACGGAAAGCGGGACAAGGU
rnacentral:sRNA from 1 species